GAUGAAGAUGAGAGGAAGCAGGAGGAGUAAGAAGAAGAGAAAAAAAAUAGUGUAAAGUUCUCCUAAAGAAUGCAAUUUUGGUCUAAAGAGUGUAACUCUCAUAAUAAAAUGUGUAAUUUUUGUCUCAAAGAGUGCAAGUUUCACUUAAAACAGUACAAAAUUUUUUUAAAACAAUAAAACUUUAUUUUAAUAGUGCAAUUUCAUCAUUUUCUUUCUUUUUCUAUAGCAUUUGAUCCUUUUUGUAGAAAAAAUAUUUUUUAUUUUUAUAUUUUAUUAUUAUUCUUAUUUUUUCUCUUCAUAGUUUUUUUUUGUCACGACCUUUGCCUUGCCCUCUAUCGCAACCAUCACGACGUCGUCGGAGGCGAGCUCGGUGCCUUCGACAAUGUCGCGGCGUUUCGGCGCGCAGUGGAGGAGGA
rnacentral:lncRNA from 1 species